GUCCUGGCCGUAAACGGUGGACACUAGGUGUUGGAGGCAUCGACACCUCCAGUGCCGCAGCUAACGCAUUAAGUGUCCCGCCUGGGGAGUACGACCGCAAGGUUGAAACUCAAAGGAAUUGACGGGGGCCCGCACAAGCGGUGGAGCAUGUGGUUUAAUUCGACGCAACGCGAAGAACCUUACCGGGGUUUGACAUGCACGGGACAGGUGUGGAAACACACCCUCCCUUCGGGGUCCGUGCACAGGUGCUGCAUGGCUGUCGU
rnacentral:rRNA from 1 species